rnacentral:rRNA from 1 species
GCAUAUCAAUAAGCGGAGGAAAAGAAACCAACAGGGAUUGCCCCAGUAACGGCGAGUGAAGCGGCAAUAGCUCAAAUUUGAAAUCUGGCUCUUUCAGGGUCCGAGUUGUAAUUUGCAGAGGGCGCUUUGGUGUCGGCAGCGGCCUAAGUUCCUUGGAACAGGUCAUCAUAGAGGGUGAGAAUCCCGUAUGUGGCUGCUUGUCUUCACCGUGUAAAGCCCCUUCGAUGAGUCGAGUUGUUUGGGAAUGCAGCUCUAAAUGGGAGGUAAAUUUCUUCUAAAGCUAAAUAUUGGCCAGAGACCGAUAGCGCACAAGUAGAGUGAUCGAAAGAUGAAAAGCACUUUGGAAAGAGAGUCAAAAAGCACGUGAAAUUGUUGAAAGGGAAGCGCUUGCAGCCAGACGUGCCCGUAGUUGCUCAUCUGGGGAUUUCCCCAGUGCACUCUUCUAUGGGCAGGCCAGCAUCAGUUCGGGCGGUUGGAGAAAGACCUGUGUCACGUAGCUCUCUUCGGGGAGUGUUAUAGGGCAGGUGGAAUGCAACCAGCCUGGACUGAGGUCCGCGCAUCUGCUAGGAUGCUGGCGUAAUGGCUGUAAGCGGCCCGUCUUGAAACACGGACCAAGGAGUCUAACAUCUAUGCGAGUGUUUGGGUGUCAAGCCCGAGCGCGUAAUGAAAGUGAACGGAGGUGGGAACCCCUCGGGGUGCACCAUCGACCGAUCCUGAUGUCUUCGGAUGGAUUUGAGUAAGAGCAUAGCUGUUGGGACCCGAAAGAUGGUGAACUAUGCCUGAAUAGGGUGAAGCCAGAGGAAACUCUGGUGGAGGCUCGCAGCGGUUCUGACGUGCAAAUCGAUCGUCAAAUUUGGGCAUAGGGGCGAAAGACUAAUCGAACUAUCUAGUAGCUGGUUCCUGCGA